rnacentral:rRNA from 1 species
AUUGAACGCUGGCGGCAUGCUUUACACAUGCAAGUCGAACGGUAACAGGCCUUCGGGUGCUGACGAGUGGCGAACGGGUGAGUAAUGCAUCGGAACGUACCCAGAGGUGGGGGAUAACGCAGCGAAAGCUGUGCUAAUACCGCAUGUGAUCUGAGGACGAAAGCGGGGGACCGAGCAGCAAUGUUUGGCCUCGCGCCUUUGGAGCGGCCGAUGUCGGAUUAGCUAGUUGGUGGGGUAAAGGCCUACCAAGGCGACGAUCCGUAGCUGGUCUGAGAGGACGAUCAGCCACACUAGAACUGAGACACGGCCCAGACUACUACGGGAGGCAGCAGUGGGGAAUGUUGGGCAGUGGGCGCGAGCCUGAUCCAGCAAUGGCGCGUGCGGGAAGAAGGCCUUCGGGUUGUGAACCGCUUUUGGCAGGAACGAAACGGUGUCCGCUAAUACCGGGCGAUAAUGACGGUACCUGCAGAAUAAGCACCGGCUAACUACGUG